rnacentral:pre_miRNA from 1 species
ACCUCCUGUGCCUACUGAGCUGAUAACAGUUCGAUGUUAAACAAACACUGGCUCAGUUCAGCAGGAACCGGAGU